rnacentral:lncRNA from 10 species
CGCCAUAGACAGUGAUUCCUCUGAUGGAUCCGGGAAAAGUAAAUUGAAAAUCUUCUGGAAAGGACUCACCAUUCUAGAUGCCAUUAAGAACAUUUGUGAUUCAUGGAAGGAGGUCAAAAUAUCAACAUUAACAGGGUGUAGAAGAAGUUAACUUCAAACCUCAGGGAUGACUUUCAGGGGUUUCAAGACUUCAGUAGAGGAAGCAACUGGUUGCAGUCUGGGAGCCGCAGGAGCACUCGGCUUCCCUUUGCGACCCGCACGAUCCUCCGCAACCCGCUGACCUAGGGUUGAGAGGCCGCCCCAGUAAAA